rnacentral:rRNA from 1 species
UACGUAGGGUGGCAAGCGUUUAAAUCGGAAUUACGUGGGCGUAAAGCGUGCGCAGGCGGUUCGUUGUGUCGGUGGUGAAAUCCCCGGGCUUAACCUGGGAAUGGCCAUGGAAACUGGCGAACUGGAGUGCGGCAGAGGGGGGUGGAAUUCCGCGUGUAGCAGUGAAAUGCGUAGAGAUGUGGAGGAACACCGAUGGCGAAGGCAGCCCCCCUGGGUUAACACUGACGCUCAGGCACGAAAGCGUGGGGAGCAAACAGG